AGAAGAUUUCCACCAUUACACUAGAUGAAAAUUAAAACCAAAUUGUAUCUUGUUCACAUGGGUGGAGUUUAAGUGAGAUUCAACAAUAAUCACCCUCAGAGAUUUACUCUCAUGUACAUAACACCCGGAACAAAAGUUCACAGAAAAACUGACUGAAGGAAAAUGAAUUACACAUAUAAUUCUCCACCGAAAACUAACAAUCACUUUAAACGGUGAAAAAAGUGAGCUAGGUAAGCCAAUAAUGAGGUGCUCAUCUGUAAAGGG
rnacentral:lncRNA from 1 species